AUUGAACGCUGGCGGCAGGCCUAACACAUGCAAGUCGAACGGUAGCAGGAAACAGCUUGCUGUUUCGCUGACGAGUGGCGGACGGGUGAGUAAUGUCUGGGAAACUGCCUGAUGGAGGGGGAUAACUACUGGAAACGGUAGCUAAUACCGCAUAACGUCGCAAGACCAAAGAGGGGGACCUUCGGGCCUCUUGCCAUCGGAUGUGCCUAGAUGGGAUUAGCUAGUAGGUGGGGUAACGGCUCACCUAGGCGACGAUCCCUAGCUGGUCUGAGAGGAUGACCAGCCACACUGGAACUGAGACACGGUCCAGACUCCUACGGGAGGCAGCAGUGGGGAAUAUUGCACAAUGGGCGCAAGCCUGAUGCAGCCAUGCCGCGUGUAUGAAGAAGGCCUUCGGGUUGUAAAGUACUUUCAGCGGGGAGGAAGGGAGUAAAGUUAAUACCUUUACUCAUUGACGUUACCCGCAGAAGAAGCACCGGCUAACUCCGUG
rnacentral:rRNA from 1 species